UCACUGGGCAGUAUUCGCCCAGAGGGACCGGUCUCCCCGACAAGGGACCGGUCCCCGAGAGCUCUCCCUGCAGUCUGGGGACUUUUCGCGUUCGGGAACCGGUCCUCACCUGAGGGACCGGUCCCUGGGAAACCGGUCUCUCCUAAGAGACCAGUUCCCGAACGGGGAACCUUCAGGACUUAGCCAAAUUUUAGCUUUCUCCCGCGGGUG
rnacentral:lncRNA from 1 species